rnacentral:rRNA from 1 species
GACGAACGCUGGCGGCGUGCUUAACACAUGCAAGUCGAACGGAAAGUCCCUGCUUUUGUGGGGUGCUUGAGUGGCGACGGGGUGAGCAACACGUGAGUAACCUGCCCUUGACUUUGGGAUAACUUCAGGAAACUGGGGCUAAUACCGCAUAGGAUCUCCCGCUGCAUGGUGGGCGUUGGAUAGUUUCGGGGGUUGGGGGUGGACUCGCGGCUUAUCAGCUUGUUGGUGGGGUAGUGGCUUACCAGGGCCUUGACCGGUAGCCGACCUGAGAGGGUCACCGGCCCAGUUGCGCUUGAACUACGACACGGACUCCGACGCGAGGCAACAGAGGAGAGUGUAAUAUAGUGCGCGGGGGGGAGGCAGGGCACCGCAGCGUGGCGGAAGAGAGCAAUCGGGUAGUAAAGUGAGGCUGCCUUAGACGAAACGUUAAUGACGGUAAUGGGAGAAUAAGCACCGGCUAACUACGUG